UACGUAGGGGGCAAGCGUUGUCCGGAAUUAUUGGGCGUAAAGCGCGUGUAGGCGGUCCACUAAGUCGGCUGUGAAAGUCCAGGGCUCAACCCUGGGUCUGCAUUCGAUACGGGCAGGCUAGAGUGUGGUAGGGGGAGAUCGGAAUUCCUGGUGUAGCGGUGAAAUGCGCAGAGUAUCAGGAGGAACACCGGUGGCGAAGGCGGAUCUCUGGGCCAUUACUGACGCUGAGGAGCGAAAGCGUGGGGAGCGAACGGG
rnacentral:rRNA from 1 species